rnacentral:rRNA from 1 species
GGUUAAGCGACUAAGCGUACACGGUGGAUGCCCUGGCAGUCAGAGGCGAUGAAGGGCGUGCUAAUCUGCGAUAAGCGCCGGUAAGGUGAUAUGAACCGUUAUAACCGGCGAUACCCGAAUGGGGAAACCCAGUGUGAUUCGUCACACUAUCAUUAACUGAAUCCAUAGGUUAAUGAGGCGAACCGGGGGAACUGAAACAUCUAAGUACCCCGAGGAAAAGAAAUCAACCGAGAUUCCCCCAGUAGCGGCGAGCGAACGGGGAGGAGCCCAGAGCCUGAAUCAGCAUGUGUGUUAGUGGAAGCGUCUGGAAAGGCGCGCGAUACAGGGUGACAGCCCCGUACACAAAAGCGCAUGUGCUGUGAGCUCGAUGAGUAGGGCGGGACACGUGGUAU